UAGGAUGCCUGGAACUUCCCGGU
rnacentral:miRNA from 1 species